ensembl:lncRNA
CUUCCUGGAGCCUUUAAGGCAAGAUAAACUUCCAUAAGGUACUUUUGAUCAUGGAGUUUUAUUCCAGCAGCAAAAGAGCCAUUACAUCCAGUCCCAGUCACUCCCUUGCUCUGUUCCCACCCUGGACUCUCCCCUCCUUUGCUCUUGGUCCCUGCCUGUACUGUGUACAUUCUCAUCCAGGUAGCACCUGAAUGAGGUUGUUAAUUUUGUGGAGUGUCUUAUCCUUUCCACCUCACAGACUGUCUCCCAGCUGAGGAGGAGAAGGUAUCUACUCUUCAGGAGAUGUUGUUCUUUGGGUGGGAGUGGACUGGCUUCCCAGAAGUUCCAAAAUGAAGAUUCUUCUCUAUUGAAAACAAACAAAACUCCAUUAUCUACUGGUUUCCUGCUUCCUUCCCUGAAAGCCAUCCUUCUCAGACACGUGGCAUCACGCCAGGGGCAUGGAAUCAUAGCAUGACUGGGCAUGCCUUCCUGUAUCGUGCUGGGUGCUAGGGGGAAACUGUUUAGAAUGUAUUUCUCAUCAAAGCAUGUCGUUCUAAUGUAAUAUAUAUAUAUGUAUAUAUUUAUCAGACCUAUUGCCAUAUGUGGCUUGAGAAAUAUGGUUGCUGUUCAUGCAAAAUUCAUGUGACAUUUAAAGAUUAGUCAACUAUGCAAUCAUGACUUGUUUCUGGUAAUCUGAUUUUGGUCAUUAAUUCGAAAUUCACCAUGUCUUGUCCUCCAUCUGCUGUUGGGAUGCCUUUCAGGGGAAAAUGCAUUCCCUAUAAGUGGAAGGCUGCUACUGGAAUGGCAGACUUAAUGAAGUUUAAUGAACAUAGUUUUGAAUUUUUCUUUUUUGAGGUAUGGAGAACUAAGUCCAGGGUCAUCACAUAUUAGUUUAGCUAUCUUCCACUGUGCUAGGACUCCACCUCUUUUGAGAUGUUUUACUUCAUUGCUUAGGCUGGCCUUGAUUUCCCCAAUCUCUUUCCUUUGUCUCCUGAGAGCUGGCAUUAAAAGUGUGGGUCACCGCAUUCUAGCAAAAAGCCCUGCAGCUUCGCUUUGCUGUAUCUUUGAGAACAGGGUCUCCUGUAGCCUAGGCUGGCCUCGAGUUCACUGCAUAGCUAGAGAUGAACUUCUAAUCCUCCUGCUUCUGCUUCCCAAGUUCUGGCAUCAUAGGCAUAUAACACUAAACCCAGAAAAAUUUUGAAGUAUUAAUUGUAUUUUCUUUCAUCUUUAACCCUUAAAACAUCCCUCUGGACCUUCCCUUAAAGCCUGUUAUUAAUUUAUUGCUAGGGUUGUUGUAACAGGGAUGAUAAGGAACAGUCGGAGAUCCUCCCAAGGUUUUUAUUUUAAUUUUACUUCACAGCAAAAUUAGCAAGAUUUCACUUGUAGUGGUUUGAGUUCUAGGUCUUCUGUAAAGCUCAGGAUAUGGAAAUUAAAUCUCUGAAGCCAUCAAGGUAUAUGGGUUAAAUUAUAUCCACUAAAUAUUGAAGUCUUAAUUCCCAGGAUCUCAGAAUGUGAUCUCAUUGGGAGAUGAGGGUCUUUGCAGGUAAUUGUGUUAAAUAAAGUUCAUCAGGAUGAGCCUUAGUCAAGUAGAACUGGUGUUCUUAGAAAAAAAGAAUUUGGCGAUAGCCCUCCACAGAGGGAAGUGGUAUCCUGGGAGACAACGUUGAUUUACGGUAAUAGAAAUGUAAUAAACAUUCUAGUUCAAAA